CGCUGCGCCAUGAGCAAAGUCUGCGGCCCCUCACUCGGCGCGGCUCCGGGAACACUGGGGCGGGGGUGGGUGAUUCAGUCCCCCACCCCCGGGUGUCCUGACUCCCUGGUGGCCCUGGGCUGACAGCUCCACACCUUGGGAGGCCGCACCCCCACCUGCCGCAUUUCCUCGUUCUGAGUCACCCUUGCUCAGAACGCUUGACUUUGGGACUUCCUGUCCGCACUCGCGGCCCCUAACCUGCCCCGGGAGCCCGGGAGUGCGGCUUGGGAAGGAGGGAAAGGAGUGUGUGAGCAGGGAUUGGCCCGAACCUAUCUCCACGCUCUCCCCCGGGACUGGAGGUGAAGGGGGGCGUGGAGAAAAUCUCAGGGAACAGGGGCUUCGACAGGGGGCUCCCGCCCGCCCGAGCCCCCUCCCCAAAAUGCGAGGCCUGCACAGUAUGCCUUCUCCGCAAAACCUCGGCAAGCGGGUUAGUGAAUUCAGGUCACUAAGAAGCUGAGCCCGCGGAAAGCUGCCCAAACACCCCCUUCUCUAGGGGACUCCCCACGCCCCCCGCCGGGACGCGUUCCCGAAGUCGCCGCCUGGACUGCAACCGCGUGGCCUGCGCCGCGUCCUCUUCUCCGCAGCCUCCGAGGCCCGUGCGACCAAGCUGAAACCGCUUAUUCUCCGGAGCCCCUAUGACCCCGGGUGGGGGCCAGGGCUCGCCUCGAUCGCAGCCCGUGCGCCCUCCGGACUCCAGUUCGCCGGGACUGGGCGACACCAGAAGCGGCUAGUGUGAGUGAAACAAACGGGAAAUUUGCUCUGGCCCGCCUGCCCAGCCACCCACGGCUGCCUGUUGGCCAAUCACCAUUUGACCAGUCCAGGAAGAGCAACUGUGGCAGGCCUGAUUUCCUGGGAGGCCCCAGACUCCCUUUGCCUACCUCUUCCUCUCUGACCCCAUCCUCGCUUUGAUGCCCGGGACCUGCUACCCAGGAUCUCGCUCUGUCACCCAGGCCAGAGUGCAGUGGUGC
rnacentral:lncRNA from 1 species